GUACAAUCAGUCGCAAGCGUUUAUGCUCCAUCAUCUGUAGUUCUUUGAAUUAUUAAUUAGGUAUAGUUUUUUUUUUUUUGGUUUGAUGGAAGGAAGAUUGCCUCUUCUUUCAGCAGCAAGUUCUGUUCUUGUUAGCUUUGUUCUGGAGGCAUAUAUCAAUUCGCCAUCACGAGAGGGAUUUUAUAAUUUUGCAGAGUUAUUCCUCUGUAUAAUAUUAUCCUUCUCUUUGGUACAUCUGUCUUCUUCUUCCUCCAAAUAUUUAUAAAAGCUUUGAAAUGAUUCACUUAUUGGUACAUGGAAGACUUUCUUGCUUAUUCAGAACUAUGCUUUGGUCAUUCUUAUAAUAUAGACGAUGCAUUACUUUCUCUAAAUUUUUAGAAAUAAAUUAGAAACUGAAUUUAGUCAUCUCUUAAUCACACAUUUUGAGCCCAACACAAACCAAAGUACUAAGCAUUUAGCUAAAUCCAUGUUUUAGCAGUCUAUGGGGUAUAUAGUUUAGAUUAGUUUUGAAGACACUAUCAUCGUCUUAAAAAAGAUUGAGAAAUUGCAAUUGAUGAAUACCACAUAAUGGAUUUAAAAGGAUCCCAUGUUUGAAAAUAUUUUGCCUUUCUACAUUGCGAGAAACAUAAUAAAUAAACAUGACAAAUGAUAACUGAAUGUGAAUUCACAUAAUAAGUUUGAAAACAUGUGAUAUGAAGAACAAGGAUAAUGAUCAAGAGUCCUUGAUCUCAAUUAUAACCGAGUUUCCCACAUUGGACGAAGUUUAGCAUACUGUACAUUGAUCCAUGAGCUAUUACCUAGCCAGGAACAAGAUCAGCAAUGUAGAUGGCUUGCACAGAUUGCUGAAACUCAUCGUUCUCGAUCUUAGCUUCAACGAGAUCACAAUCAAGAACCCAAUAAGCCAGCUAGUUUCCAACUACGACUCUCUUGUACAUUCGAAACCCCAUUCAGACCAACGUUGGUGAGGAGCAGCUGUGUAAGACCGCAGACCAACGUCCCAAAAGCUGCUUUUGUAGCGGAGAUUCUCUGUCACCGCAGUCGCAAACCAACAGACAUAGUAGAGUUGUUGGAUGAUCAGAUUCCCUAGCCUCCAUCAAGGAGGCCAAAGGCAGAAGCCAUCAUCAGCCGCAGAGACACCGCCACAUUGACGGCUCCUCUUUUUACACAUGUUAUGAAUUGGCCAAUGAAAAGAGAAUGAUCCUCUCAUAAAACAGUUGUCGUAUUCUACUGAAUAGAGUUUGUCAACUUAUAUUUCAUAAAACUUCAUCUUCACAAAUAUGGAUUAUAUUCUUUUUCACUGUAUAUAAUAAAAAUAGUACCCCCAAAGUAAAUAUAAAUGUAACAUCUGUAAAAUGGGAACUCAUGAAAGAAACUUCACCGGCGGUCUUACGUCCCCCCGGCAGCAUAUAUUUCAUCUCCCUUCUCUUUUCAUCAUCUUCUUCUUCCCCUGUAUCGCCACCACAGUUCUGUGACUGUGAGA